rnacentral:rRNA from 1 species
UUCCGGUUGAUCCCGCCGGAGGACAUUGCUAUUGGGAUUCGAUUUAGCCAUGCUAGUCGAGCGAGUUCAGACUCGCGGCGAAUAGCUCAGUAACACGUGGCCAAGCUCCCCUUCAGUCAGCGAUACCCUCGGGAAACUGAGGUUAACAGCUGAUACAAAACGCCAGCUGGAAUGCGGCGUUUCAGAAAGACAUCGCUGAAGGAUGCGGCUGCGGCCGAUUAGGUAGACGGUGGGGUAACGGCCCACCGUGCCAGUAAUCGGUACGGGUGAUGAGAGUCAGAGCCCGGAGACGGAAUCUGAGACAAGAUUCCGGGCCCUACGGGGCGCAGCAGGCGCGAAACCUUACACUGCACGGAAGUGCGAUAGGGGAAUCCCAAGUGCGAGGGCAUAUUAGCCCUCGCUUUUCUCGACUGUAAGGUGGUCGACGAAUAAGAGCUGGGCAAGACCGGUGCCAGCCGCCGCGGUAAUACCGGCAGCUCAAGUGAUGUCCCAUAUUAUUGGGCCUAAAGCGUCCGUAGCUGGCCGACCAAGUCUCCCGGGAAAUCCACCCGCCCAACGGGUGGGCGUCCGGUAGAAACUGGCCGGCUUGGAACCGGAAGGCUCAGAGAGUACGUCCGGGGUAGGAGUGAAAUCCCGUAAUCCCGGACGGACUACCGAUGGCGAAAGCACUCUGAGAAGACGGCUUCGACAGUGAGGGACGAAAGCUCGGGUCUCAAACCGGAUUAGAUACCCGGGUAGUC